rnacentral:tRNA from 1 species
GGUCUGGUAGUUCAGCUGGUUAGAAUACAUGCCUGUCACGCAUGGGGGGGUCGCGGGUUCGAAUCCCGUCCAGACCG